GACGAACGCUGGCGGCGUGCUUAACACAUGCAAGUCGAGCGGUAAGGCCUUUCGGGGUACACGAGCGGCGAACGGGUGAGUAACACGUGGGUGAUCUGCCCUGCACUUCGGGAUAAGCCUGGGAAACUGGGUCUAAUACCGGAUAUGACCUCCUAUCGCAUGGUGGGUGGUGGAAAGAUUUAUCGGUGCAGGAUGGGCCCGCGGCCUAUCAGCUUGUUGGUGGGGUAAUGGCCUACCAAGGCGACGACGGGUAGCCGACCUGAGAGGGUGACCGGCCACACUGGGACUGAGACACGGCCCAGACUCCUACGGGAGGCAGCAGUGGGGAAUAUUGCACAAUGGGCGAAAGCCUGAUGCAGCGACGCCGCGUGAGGGAUGACGGCCUUCGGGUUGUAAACCUCUUUCAGCAGGGACGAAGCGCAAGUGACGGUACCUGCAGAAGAAGCACCGGCUAACUACGUGCCAGCAGCCGCGGUAAUACGUAGGGUGCAAGCGUUGUCCGGAAUUACUGGGCGUAAAGAGUUCGUAGGCGGUUUGUCGCGUCGUUUGUGAAAACCAGCAGCUCAACUGCUGGCUUGCAGGCGAUACGGGCAGACUUGAGUACUGCAGGGGAGACUGGAAUUCCUGGUGUAGCGGUGAAAUGCGCAGAUAUCAGAGGAACACC
rnacentral:rRNA from 1 species